GUCAUAUCUUUUCCUCCAAAAUCCAAAUCUCUCAUUCCCUUAAGAAUAUGACCUCUUUCCCUACAUGUCGUGGCCUUCUCUCCUUCUUUAUUCACCUGAUGGAAUUCGUUUAGGUUUUGGUAAGGUAGGGGAGGGAUCAAAAACUGUUGUUGAAGCUAUUGGGAUCGACUUUCAACAGUAAACCAUUAGGAACAAUAUCAAUGAGCAUGGUGUUUCUCGUGAGCCUAUGAAUAGAGAAGAAAUAUUUAAUGAAAGGCACAUUAAUCGGCAUAAUGAAGAAUAUGCAAAGUUCUGUGAGCUGGUCAAAGAUGGCAAUCUACCAUUAUAUGAAGGGUGCACGAAGUAUUUUAAUUUGUCUUUUCUAGUCAAAUUGUAUCAUAUAAAGUAUUUGUACCGAAUGACGGGCAAAGCACUGAGUAUGAUAUUGGAAUUGUUAAAAGAUGCCUAUAUUUUCUGGUUAGAUACUUAUGUUUUAUAUAAGAUAAACAUAUUAUGUUUAUUUAGUUUUCUA